CGUAAGAAAAGCUGAUCAGGCUGACUGUCGCCAGGUGAUGGACGAACAUGAUCAGGAAGUCCUGCAAUGAAAGAGGGAGACACAGUCUGCUUGUUAACUUGGACCCGAGGAUUAAGAGCGACGUGCGACCACCACUGUGCCCACAACCACACACAUCCUGGCCCAGUGAAGCACCACAGCGCCCAAUAAAGCACGACGAGUUUCUGCCGUUGUUGUGCUGCGGGCGUUUAAAUCUCUGCCCCCCUGAAUAUGCGUCAACCAGAACCGGGACAAAUAUGAACGUGAACGUGAGCAUGAGUGAGUAUAUAAAGGAAAUGUUACCGGUGGGCCUGUCUGGGACUGAACUCUGCAAAAGAUAUUUGGCCAACGUUAUACAAUCGUACCAUUAUAUAAAGACAAUUAAGUGAUUCAACUUGUCAGACUGCUUUUUGACGUUUAUACAGGUAACAGGAAGAAGGCACAUACAAUGACAAUGGUCCUUCUGUCCUGUGCAGUUUAAGUAUUAAGUGACAAAGAACGGCUUUUCCUGGAUAACAGUUAUACAAUGCAGUCUGAUAGCCCUGCAAUAAAAGUUAUUCCUUGACUGUG